AAGUUUCUUGGUUUUGAACAGGUAUUGUUUUUCUGUUUUUCAAUGGACCAUAAAUCUGUCUUUGAAAUUCACGUUGAUUUUAAUAGGUCUUGGCGGCUCCUAAAGUUUUGUUGAAAAAGUUUUAUAUAAGGAAAAAAUUUUAUACACAGAAAAGGCUUAAUUCUGACAUUUACCAUGUUAUGUUGUGGUCCACUUUCUUCCAGACAUUAAAGAAUGCCUUAUCA
rnacentral:misc_RNA from 1 species